rnacentral:rRNA from 1 species
UUGCCUCAGUAACUGCGAGUGAAGCGGCAAAAGCUCAAAUUUGAAAUCUGGCCCGUCUCUGGCGGCCCGAGUUGUAAUUUGGAGGGGCAUUUUCGGAGCGGGCGCCGUCCUAAGUUCCUUGGAACAGGACAUCACAGAGGGUGAGAAUCCCGUGCCUGGGCGGCAGCCCCGCUCCAUGUGAGGUGUCUCCGACGAGUCGAGUUGUUUG